GACGAACGCUGGCGGCGUGCUUAACACAUGCAAGUCGAACGGAAAGGCCCCUUUCGGGGUACUCGAGUGGCGAACGGGUGAGUAACACGUGAGUAACCUGCCCUUGACUUCGGGACAACUUCAGGAAACUGGGGCUAAUACCGGAUAGGAAUCCUUGCUGCAUGGUGGGGGUUGGAAAGCUUCGGCGGUUUUGGGUGGACUGGCGGCUUAUCAGCUUGUUGGUGGGGUAGUGGCUUACCAAGGCGUUGGCGGGUAGCCGGCCUGUGGGGGCGACCGGCCACAUUGGGACUGAGGGGAGGCCCAGACUCCUACGGGAGGCAGCUGUGGGGAAUACUGCACGAUGGGCGGCAGCCUGGUGCAGCAACGCCGCGUGCGGGAUGACGGCCUUCGGGUUGUAAACCGCUUUCAGCAGGGGCGAAGCUUGUGGUGACGGUACCUGCAGAAGAAGCACCGGCUAACUACGUG
rnacentral:rRNA from 1 species